ACUCCAUAGAGCGCAGACAGUCGAAGGUAUAGUUGGUGGGGAUACGACCGAGUACGAAGGACAAGCAUAGAAGCUACGGGGAUAGAGGGAAGGGGAGAAGAUGCAGUUCAAUUGGGUGGGGGAAGAAAAGGAAGGAAGAAGGCAGAUGGAUAGCAAUCGAGAAGGAUACAAAGGGUUGGGUGGGGUGAGAAAUGAUGGAGAGUGAACAGUGGCGAGGGGUCGCUCUUCCGACCGAGGGGUUGUCGUGCCGGUGGGGAGGUUUGACCUGAGCUAGUUCCCCUCCAUUCAAUCCACGGCCACAAUAUCGGUUAUAGCGAGCCACUGUUGCCAGAUUGUGCGCCUCGACGACGACGGUGGCAGCGUGUGGGUGGAGUCAUGCGAUAGAGGGAAAAGGUCUCCCUGUAACAUCACGGCUGUCCUCUUCUCUUGUUCUCGUGCAUACUGCUCGAUCUGAGAAACGAGUAUAUACGUCUCGCCCUCCGUCUUCCGUUCUCGGCUGCUCCCGCGCUGUUGUUGUCGCUACCGGGACGCACGCAGACCCCUUCGAAACCGAGGUGCAUGUGGCAUUUCUACGUACACCGCCCGGAACUUAUGUAGCAACGGGCAAUCAUGGUCAUCUCGAACGUCUUUUCAGUGGCAAUCUCGAAAGAUCGGUUGCAGUGUUGCCUUGUCGCAGAUUACAAUCAUGUCAUUAUAUGUAUGGAUGAGAGAUAUAAUAAAACGCAAUAAAUCAAAUAUAACUAAUUUAUAA